rnacentral:rRNA from 1 species
AGAAUCAACGCUGGCGGCGUGCCUAACACAUGCAAGUCGCACGAGAAAGGGGAGCAAUCCCUGAGUACAGUGGCGCACGGGUGAGUAACACGUGAAUCAUCUACCUCCGAGUGGGGAAUAACUGAGAGAAAUCUUAGCUAAUACCGCAUAAUACCCACGGGUCAAAGCAGCAAUGCGCUUGGAGAGGAGUUCGCGGCAGAUUAGUUAGUUGGCGGGGUAAUGGCCCACCAAGACGAUGAUCUGUAUCCGGCCUGAGAGGGCGCACGGACACACUGGAACUGAAACACGGUCCAGACUCCUACGGGAGGCAGCAGUGGGGAAUUUUGCGCAAUGGGGGAAACCCUGACGCAGCAACGCCGCGUGGAGGAUGAAGCCCCUGGGGUGUAAACUCUUUCGAUCGGGAGAUAAUGACGGUACCGAUAUAAGAAGCCCCGGCUAACUUCGCGCCAGCAGCCGC